rfam:Dipodomys ordii contig_31851, whole genome shotgun sequence.
GGCGCUGUGGCUCAAGUGGUAGAGCGUUAGCCUUGAGCUAAAAGAGCUGAAGGACAGCGCCC